rnacentral:rRNA from 1 species
AUUGAACGCUGGCGGCAGGCCUAACACAUGCAAGUCGAACGAGAGGCGGACGGGUGAGUGAUGUCUGGGCAACUGCCCGAUGGCGGGGGAUAACUGGUGGAAAAGGUAGCUAAUACCGCAAACCAUUGGGUGUGCCCAGACGGGAUUAGGUAGUAGGUGGGGUAACGGCUAACCUAGGCGACGAUCCCUAGCUGGUCUGAGAGGAUGACCAGCCACACUGGAACUGAGACACGGUCCAGACUCCUACGGGAGGCAGCAGUGGGGAAUAUUGCACAAUGGGCGCAAGCCUGAUGCAGCCAUGCCGCGUGAAUGAAGAAGGCCUUCGGGUUGUAAAGUACUUUCAGCGAGGAGGCGUUACUCGCAGAGGAAGCACCGGCUAACUCCGUGCCAGCAGCCGCGGUAAUUC